rnacentral:rRNA from 1 species
GACGAACGCUGGCGGCGUGCUUAACACAUGCAAGUCGAGCGGUAAGGCCCUUUCGGGGGUACACGAGCGGCGAACGGGUGAGUAACACGUGGGUGACCUGCCCUCAGCUCUGGGAUAAGCCUGGGAAACCGGGUCUAAUACCGGAUAUGACUCCAUGACGCAUGUUGUGGGGUGGAAAGCCUUGUGCGGCUGAGGAUGGGCCCGCGGCCUAUCAGCUUGUUGGUGGGGUGANGGCCUACCAAGGCGACGACGGGUAGCCGGCCUGAGAGGGCGACCGGCCACACUGGGACUGAGACACGGCCCAGACUCCUACGGGAGGCAGCAGUUCAGAAUAUUGCGCAAUGGGGGAAACCCUGACGCAGCGACGCCGCGU